AUGAGGGAAUUUUGCGUUUUCCCCGCCUGUUAGUUGGACAAGCAGGGGGAAAAAAACCUCAUUUCCCUGACCGGGAAUCGAACCCGGG